CAUGCUCAAUCGAGCUUUGAUACCAAUUGUUGCGAUCUGGUGCCUCCUUGAUACCAAUGGUGGAUUGAUAUCUUGCAUGGAACCUGGGUGUUAAAUUAGCAAACCAAAGAGGAGAUCAAAGAAAAUGCGGAAGCCCUAGAUUGGAAAAUGGAUGAGAGCAUGAGAGAGAGAGCAAGAGGUGGCUAGAGAAUUUAGGAGAAA
rnacentral:lncRNA from 1 species